CCCUUAGAUGUUCUGGGCCACACGCGCGCUACACUGAUGCAUUCAACGAGUCUAAAACCUGCUCUGAUAGGGGUGGGUAAUCUUUUGAAUGUGCAUCGUGAUUGGGAUAGAUGAUUGCAAUUUUUCAUCUUCAACGAGGAAUGCCUAGUAAACGCAAGUCAUCAGCUUGCAUUGAUUACGUCCCUGCCCUUUGUACACACCGCCCGUCGCUCCUACCGAUUGAAUGAUCCGAUGAAUAUCAUGGAUUGAGGAUGUAAGCAGGUUCGCCUGUCUUCAUCUUCGAGAAGUGAAGUAAAUCUUAUCAUUUAGAGGAAGGAGAAGUCGUAACA
rnacentral:rRNA from 1 species